rnacentral:rRNA from 1 species
GACGAACGCUGGCGGCGUGCUUAACACAUGCAAGUCGAACGGAAAGGCCCUGCUCUUGUGGGGUGCUCGAGUGGCGAACGGGUGAGUAACACGUGAGUAACCUGCCCCUGACUUUGGGAUAACUUCAGGAAACUGCGGCUAAUACCGGAUAGGAGCUCCUGCUGCAUGGUGGGGGUUGGAAAGAUUCGGCGGUUGGGGAUAGAUUCGCGGCUUAUCCGCUUGUUAGUGGGGUAGUGGCUUACCAAGGCUUUGACGGGUAGCCGGCCUGAGAGGGUGACCGGCGACAAUAGGACUGAGGUACGGCCCAGAAUCCUACGGGACGCAGCAGGGGGGAAUAUUGCGGAAUGGGCGGAAGCCUGAUGCAGCAACGCCGCGUGCGGGAUGACGGCCUACGGGGGGUAAACCGCUGUGGCCGGUAACAAGGAGUGAGUGACGGUAAUGAGUAAGAAAGCACCGGCUAACUACGUG